rnacentral:rRNA from 1 species
GAGUAACACGUGGAUAACCUACCUAUAAGACUGGGAUAACUUCGGGAAACCGGAGCUAAUACCGGAUAAUAUUUUGAACCGCAUGGUUCAAAAGUGAAAGACGGUCUUGCUGUCACUUAUAGAUGGAUCCGCGCUGCAUUAGCUAGUUGGUAAGGUAACGGCUUACCAAGGCAACGAUGCAUAGCCGACCUGAGAGGGUGAUCGGCCACACUGGAACUGAGACACGGUCCAGACUCCUACGGGAGGCAGCAGUAGGGAAUCUUCCGCAAUGGGCGAAAGCCUGACGGAGCAACGCCGCGUGAGUGAUGAAGGUCUUCGGAUCGUAAAACUCUGUUAUUAGGGAAGAACAUAUGUGUAAGUAACUGUGCACAUCUUGACGGUACCUAAUCAGAAAGCCACGGCUAACUACGUGCCAGCAGCCGCGGUAAUACGUAGGUGGCAAGCGUUAUCCGGAAUUAUUGGGCGUAAAGCGCGCGUAGGCGGUUUUUUAAGUCUGAUGUGAAAGCCCACGGCUCAACCGUGGAGGGUCAUUGGAAACUGGAAAACUUGAGUGCAGAAGAGGAAAGUGGAAUUCCAUGUGUAGCGGUGAAAUGCGCAGAGAUAUGGAGGAACACCAGUGGCGAAGGCGACUUUCUGGUCUGUAACUGACGCUGAUGUGCGAAAGCGUGGGGAUCAAACAGGAUUAGAUACCCUGGUAGUCCACGCCGUAAACGAUGAGUGCUAAGUGGUAGGGGGUUUCCGCCCCUUAGUGCUGCAGCUAACGCAUUAAGCACUCCGCCUGGGGAGUACGACCGCAAGGUUGAAACUCAAAGGAAUUGACGGGGACCCGCACAAGCGGUGGAGCAUGUGGUUUAAUUCGAAGCAACGCGAAGAACCUUACCAAAUCUUGACAUCCUUUGACAACUCUAGAGAUAGAGCUUUCCCCUUCGGGGGACAAAGUGACAGGUGGU